rnacentral:rRNA from 1 species
AUGGGUUGCAGGCACUCCAAAGUGGAGGACGAGGAGGCGGUGAGGAGAUGCAGGGACAGGAGGAACCUCAUGAAGCAGCUCGUGCGCCGCCGUGUCGACCUUGCAGCCGCACACAUUACCUACUUGCAUGCACUCCGCAACACAGGAGCCACUCUCCGGCAAUUCGCCGAGGUGGAGACUGCAUCGUCACACCAGUCCCUUCAAGUCGCUGCCUCACCACCUCCUCCCCCUCCGCCGCCGCCGCCGCCGCCACCACCACCACCGCCUCCGGCAUACUCUGUGACUUCUUCCAUGCCACCAUACUCGGUGACAUCCUCAAUGCCGCCAUCACCACUACCCCCACCACUCAUACCGUUUAGUCCGAUAAGGAUAAGAAAGAGGGAGAAGAGAGAUGGUGAUCUCGACGGGGAUGAUUCCACGGAUGAAGACGACGACACUGACAGCUGCUCGACGCCUCUGCCCCCGCCGCCGCCGCCCGGUAUGGAGUGGGAGUACACGGACCCAAUCACUAUGCGUCCCUUGGAUUUUCUUCCAUCUUCGUUGGCUGAUCGGGACGAUAAAGAAGUGGCCUCACAAGUCAGCAUGGAUGACGAUUGGGUGGAAACGAACAUAGAAUUUGAUGGACAGGAUGAAAGCGUCUCUGGCAAUGCUGAUGGCAUACUUAGGCGUGUGGAAUUGCAUCCAGCAAAGAGUAGGGUUAUGGGUGAUGAAAACUCAUCAAUGAUGAGCAGCUGGGUAACAAAGGACUCGAACUCUUCGGUGAUGGCCUGGGCGACUGACAAGUCACUGGUAGAAAUAGCCAAGGAGAUUGAUGAGUACUUCUUGAAAGCAGCCGCAAGUGGGACUGAUGUUGUUAUACUCUUGGAUUCUGCUACCGGCCGGCUAGAUCCCUCAGAGGUGCAAGUAAAGAAAGGAAAAAAUUCGAAGUCUGCCAAGGUUUUCUCUACACUUUCCUGGAGCUGGUCAUUCAAGUCUGUACAUGCUAACAGGGAAUCCUCAAGUGAUGCUUGUGGAUACGGUUAUCAUGGCAAAACACUAGAUAAGCUUUAUGACGAGGAGCAAAAACUCUAUCAGUUAGUUAAGGAUGAAGAAUUUGCAAGGCUUGAAUACAGAAAGUACAGUUCAUUGCUAAAGAAGCUAGAAUCAGGGGAGCAUGAUAGGUUGCAGGCAGAGAAAGUUCGGGAAAAUAUCGAAGAACUGCAAACUCGGAUAAUGUCCUUAGAGGAAGCUGUAAGCUUGACAUGUUUGACCAUAUCAAAGCUCAGGGAUGAGGAGUUGUAUCCUCAGGUUAUUGAAUUAGCUGCAGGGCUUGUGCAUAUGUGGAGAAACAUGUACGAGUGCCAUGAGGUUCAGAACCAUAUUGCCCAGCAAGCCAGUCUCCUUGGCAACCAACCUGGCAGUGAGCCGACAACUGACUCCCAUUGCUAUGCAACAUCUCAGUUGGAAGGCGAAGUCUCUGCAUGGCACAAUUCCUUCUGCAAUCUGAUCACCUUGCAGCGUGAGUACGUAACCAUCCUUAACGAAUGGAUUGGACUCACCGAUUGCCUGCCUGAUAAUGAGGGCUUCAUGAGAAGUUCAUCUGGAAUCCGUAGCCUCUGUGGGGAACUCGAGCAUGCUCUUAAGAAGUUACCUGAGAAGGUAGCUGCAGAAGCAAUAAAAGCUUUUCUGUCAGUCAUACACUCUAUCGUGUUACAGCAGGCUGAGGAGCGUCAGCUGAAGAAGAAAUCAGACAACAUCGAGAGCAAGUUCCACGCCCAGUUGGAGAAACACAGCGAAAACGCAAUGCAGAGCUCAGACCAGGGUUCGCACACCAGGAGCUACUCAGUGUCGAAGGACGACCCGAAGCUGGACGUGUUCAGAAAGAGGGUCGAGGAGGAGAAGGCCAGGUACAUCAACUCCUUGAGGACCAGUCGAGCCAUGACGCUGAACCAUCUUCAGACGAGCCUUCCGAACGUGUUCCAUGCCCUGACGGGGUUCUCAGGAGUAUGCGUGCAGGCGUUUGAAGGUAUCAGCCGAUGCAGCGAAGCUGCUGCUGCUGCUGCUAGCCACCCGGGAGCGGUUUCGCCAGCCGUCUCUUCCUGUGAUGAUCACCCGCUGUAA